GGGGAGAGUCGGAUACUUUGAGAGUAGUGUUCUUAAGGGGUGGUAUGUCCCAUCCAGCUAAAUAACGUGAGGAGACCGAUAGAUUACAAGUAGUGUGACGAAAGAUGAAAAGAACUCUAAACAGAGGGUGAAAAGUUCCUGAACUUGCUUAGGGUUAAGGCUAUUUAUAGUACCCGUCUUGAAACACGGAUUAGGGAGUUUAUCUGUAGUGCGAGUCUUUGCACGUUAACUGUAAAGGCGUAGAGAAAGCAACUGGCGUUUGCAUGGCUACUGAGCAUUACUGAUAGGACCCGAAAGGUGGUGAACUUUGCCUGCACAGGUUGAAGUCAGGGGAAACUCUGAUGGAGGACCGUACGGGUUAUUGAUGUGCAAAUCAUUUUUCUGAUGUAGGUAAAGGUGCGAAAGACUCAUCGAACCACCUAAUAGCUGGUUUCCUCCGAAGUUUCCCUCAGGAUAGCUGUAAUGCAUUUAGUUAAGGGGAGUAGAGAUAUGGGUAGAGGUGCAGGGAGCCUUCGGGUUCUCAACUUAUUUCCAAACUUCGAACCUCCUUGUUAGGCAUUUACCUAACUGGAAAUGCUUAAAUGAAUUAGCGUUACAAGUGGGCUCUGACCGGUAAGCGGUCAUGGCGAAAUGGGAUGAACCAUACGUCUGAAUAAGGUGCCGAAAUGUACUAUCACUGAUACCAUAAAGGGAGUCCAUGUAUUUAGACAGCAGGUCGGUGCCCCUAAAAGCAGGUAUCCGCUAAAGAGUGUGUUAAAACUCACCUGCCGAAUACUAGGGCCCCGAAAAUGAAUGGCGCAUAUAGUACUACCGAUCUCAGACAUCAGUUCUAUUGAACUGAGAGUAGGGGGAUGUGGACAUUUUUGUGAAGGUGCAAUGUGAGUUGGACUGGAAGAAUGUCUAUUACAGAUCCUAAUUGAAGUAGCGAUUAUCCAGGCUUGUAUCCUGGGGGCUGAUGAGGAGUAGGGUUUCUGGACAACUUAAACAGAUCCAGAGUUAGUCGAUCCUAAUCUCAAUAAUGGGAGAAAGGGAGUACAGUUGAUAUUCUGUAACUGACAACAGUUCGCGGCAACGCAUA
rnacentral:ncRNA from 2 species